rnacentral:lncRNA from 1 species
AGCACCCAAUAUGGGGACGGUCUCAUACGCCCAUAUCUGCAACACAUACAAUUAUUAUAUAUAAAUUCAAUAUGAAAAUAAUUUUAACAUUCAUUAUGUUAACCAUUUACCUGCACCGCCAGGAGCAAUCCAUAGGUGUCGUACUUACGCAUGGCUCACUUUGGCUUUGAGUGCGAUCUGGUGAAGACGUGUACGAUGUCCUCAAAACAUCUUCAGCCCCACGGAUAGUCGUCGAAAUGAUCGAUGUCAUCAACGAUCUCCAGAUGGAAGAGGUCGAUCGCAGUCUUCUUAGGGUGACACCACACCACGCUCUCAAGAAUGUGGACUAGACCUAACUUCAAUCUGUCUAACAUCUGAUCACACCUCGUGAUUGUGUCCAACAGCUAUGUAAGAAGCAUAGUUCCCUGUCCCUCGAAGUAAGCGUCAUGAAGUCUAUGUCUUCUCUGAAUCUCAUCACCAACUGCAUCAUCGCUCGUAAUCUUUAAUCUCGUGAUCAGAGCAAACUCGAACAUCGAAAAACUGGCGACUUUACCCCCGAUUGCGAAGUGGAGGGUAUUGCCGUCGACUGGACUCAGCAAUCGACAUAGAAGUGCUUCAAUAAUCUGACCCAAGUACU